ensembl:lncRNA
CCGGGACCUGGUCUCCUGGUUGUGUAUGUGGGGGGUCCUCCGGGGGAGGGGAGAAGAGGUGAAGCCACAGCUCCUCAACUUUCUUCCCUGGGGACAUGGACCUGUUCUAGAUAUUUCGGGGACCUCAGAUUAUUCUCUGUAGGAGAAAGACCCACUUCAGUGUUAAUAGCUGAGGUGUAUUGAGCCUUUCUUAUGUACCAGGUACUCUUCCAAGCGCUUUUCAUGUGUAAUAAGUCCUCCACAUACGGACCUUCAAGUUGCGAACUUUCAAACUUACAAACAUCCAUGUUCACGUGUGAGUCUCCCCUAUCGCUGAUGACCCUUCAGCGCCGCCGUCUCCUACCUCUCCCCGCCCCAGUAACUCUUCUUGCCUGCUCCCUCGAUGCCAGCCCCUGUGUGCCAGCUGCUGUACUGCAUGAUUGUACUUUUCAGGAUACUGUAUUGGAAGAUUAAGCGUUUCCUUUAUUUUGCGUGUGUGUUUUUAAUGUAUUAUUUGGGUGAAAAGUAUUAUAAACCUAUUACAGUACUAUAUAGCUGUUUGUGUGAGAUGGGUACCUAGUCUCAAUUUGUUGGACUUAUGAACAAACUGGACUUACUAACAUGCUCUCCGAACUUGUUCACAUGUAGGGGGUUUACUGUACUUUAAGGACUUUCCAUUUACUUUAUUCCUCACACAGACCCAUCUGAUAGAUGAGGAAGAACAGGCCCAGAGAGCUGAAGAGACUUGUCCGUGUGCACAUACCUAGGAAAUGGCAAGACAUUCAGAUCUACUUCUCAACCACUCGGCUACAAAGCCUCCUUUCAUUGCAAAGAGAAAGGGGAGAAGGGCGAGGGAGGGAGAUCGUGCACACGCUCGUUACCAGCCUAUGGAGAAGGAGAUGGCAACCCACUCCAGUACUCUUGCCUGAAAAAUCCUACGGACAGAGGAGCCUGGCGGGCUACAGUCCAUGGGGUUGCGAAGAGUUGGACACGACUGAGCGACUAAACCACCACCACCAGCCCAUGGAGACUUGGACGGGGUUAGUGACUUGACCAAGGAGCAAGAAAUCAGACCCAGAGCUGUCUGAGUUCAAUAACAAGCCCUCCCACGUCCUUGUUUUUGGUUGUCAGCUCUUUCUCUGGUGGGUUGGGGGCUGCCACUCCUUCUCUGAUGUCUCACAGGACGCUUAGGAGUGGGUGAGUGUGUGUGUGGGUGAGUGUGUGUGUGGGUGAGUGUGUGUGUGGGUGAGUGUGUGUGUGGGUGAGUAUGUGUGUGUGUGUGUGUGGGUGAGUGUGUGUGGGUGGGUGUCAUUGUGGGGUUUCUAGAUUCAGCCAAUAAAAAUACAGGAUGCCUAGUUAAAUUUGAAUAU